CCUGUGAAUGAGAGGGAUGAAUGAAACUGUCAGACGAUUAACGCAGACACAGUAUUCUUCGAAUCAACCCACUGAGGAGCUGGAGGGGGUGGAGCCUCUGUGUGAUGGAAUCCUACAUGUAUUGCCCAUAUAUGUGGGGCCUGCUGCUGAAAACCAUGCAAAAUGGAUGGAUGUUAAAGGUUAAUGAGUUUGUUACAAAUGUGAACACCAACACAGGUUUCUCUGUACCUGAAAUGGACCAUACCUGCCAUAUUCUCAAAGGUGAGUGUGGCUGGGGCAUUGCUCCUUGAGUCACACUCCUGGUAUCUCACCCAGGUUUUAUCUAGGUCCUCCAUGAAGCCAUUCUCAUGGGAACUGCAAGGGGUGGUGGAGAGCAGGAAGAGAAGUUCAAAAGUUAAUAAGUUGUUUUUGGUAGAAAGUACCGAUGAAUCCCACAAAGUCACCACAACCACCAGCACAUACACACAAACACAUAAAUGAUCAAGCACACAGACAACAGAGCAGGGAUGAAAGAGGGUUAAUACACAGAGAAAGAUGAGUAAGUGUCCAAUGGUAAGAUUUUAUACAACAUAAAACUAUACAGAAGCAUACGAUAUGCUGCUUCGGCUGGGACAGACCUGAGAAUAGCCAGGGACACAUUCUGUUUCCAGGGGCUGUCCUUGCGCAUGCCUAUGCCAAAGCCAGAACGGAAAAACAGCUCUCCCGUGGUCACCAGGUCACACUUCUGCGAGGCUUCAAACUCCAGCACCGCAGAGUCCCAGAUGAAAGCAUGCAGCUUGCUGUUGGGGCAGGGGGAAGGGAGGAGGACGGGAAGGGUGGGGGGUUACGGUGCAACAAUACAGUGAGAAACAACACACUCGUGGCACCUGACCCCACCCACCCCCCAUGUGCGACUUGUGUUACCAGAAA